UAAAUAACAAUCAUUGAGCUUGCAGCGAAUCAAUUGUUGUAGUAAAAAUUUAAUUUAUACUACAACAAUUGAUUCGCUGCAAGCUCAAUGAUUGUUAAC